GGGGCACCGCGAGAGCCGCUGCCGGUGCAGCGCCCUGUACUGCUGCUCCGCGGGGACGCGGUUCGUGGUGCUCGCUACUGUUUGACGGAUGCGAGUCUCUCUCUCGGAUAGGACAAACAAUGCAGAUACCUUAAGAGGAAGAGAAGUUCUGAGGAGCCAAUGAAGAUGCUCGAAAGAGAAAGGGUCCCUGUUAACCAUGUUCCUGGCCCAGAGACUGUGAAGCCACCUAGCCAGGUGCUGUUGGAGUAGAAAAGAAGGCACACCCUGCCCAAGGAGCUCUUAGUCAGAAAAGGAAAGGAAGCUGCCAUUAGCCCAAGUGGGCUGCUGCCUGACGCCCAGAGAGCCAUGGCUUACAGGAGAGAAGGAAGAGGAAAAUGGUACCUGCCACCUGAACAGCAAAGCACACUUGUCUUGGCAAGGACUCCUUUCAGAAAUUUGAUUUGAAGAUGUGAGCAGUGGAGAUCCUCCUCACCAAGCAAGGCUCUUCAUGGCAAGCCUCUGUGGGCAAACUUGGUCACUGUGUUCAAAGGGGUGAAUUAGCUUGGCCUUUUGUUUUAUAAUCUAGAUCUGUGCAGUCUAAUAUGGUAGUCACUGGCCACAGAUGGCUUAAAUUGAAAUUUAAAUGAAUUGAAAUUAAAUCAAAUUUAAAAUUCAGUUCCUCAUUUGUAUUAGCUACAUUUUAAGUGUUCAACACCCAUAUGUGGCUAAUGGCUACCAAAUUCAAAGGCACAGCUACAGAACAUUUCCUUUAUUGCA